UACGGAGGAUGCGAGCGUUAUCCGGAUUUAUUGGGUUUAAAGGGUGCGCAGGCGGCCUGUUAAGUCAGCGGUAAAAGCCCGGGGCUCAACCCCGGCGAGCCGUUGAAACUGGCGGGCUGGAGUUGGAGAGAAGUACGCGGAAUGCGCGGUGUAGCGGUGAAAUGCUUAGAUAUCACGAAGAACUCCGAUUGCGAAGGCAGCAUACCGGCGCCCAACUGACGCUGAAGCACGAAAGCGUGGGUAUCGAACAGG
rnacentral:rRNA from 1 species